UCCAGGGAAAGAUUAAAAGCUACUGAAUAAACAAGAGACGUGAAGCUCCUGCUGUAUGAGUAGGUUGAAAUGCCGCGGCAAGUUUAGUGCCAGCUCCAAAUCUUGUUGCAGGUAUGUAGGAAUCUGACACACUGCGCAUUCUUGGGUCAAAACCUGCCUUGUCAUUUGUUUUUUGUGUAUCUCCAGCAACUUCAACAGCUUUUUGGCUGUUACACCCCAAUAGACCACUGGAACGGCCCUUGUUUUUAGAACCUUUGGUUUUGGUGGUUGUCGGAUAAGUUCUCAUUGGGCUUGGAAAAGUUACCGGUGGCCUUAGCUCUUCAUAGUCAGACAUG
rnacentral:lncRNA from 1 species